GGCCAGUGCAUCGUGGACGCAUAAUUGAGUAUUUUAUCGUUGCGAAAUCAGUUGUAGAAAUUAGUUAAACAGUCAGCUGGAAAAGUAUUUAAUAUGAAACCGGCAAACAAGUCAUUUGCAGUAUAUAGGCCGCCUUCAAUGCAAAGUCUGUUCAUGUAUUGUGAUAAUUGAUUUAUCAUGUAAUAAUUGAAAUUUCUAACACACCAGUCAGAAACAUAAC